GACGAACGCUGGCGGCGUGCUUAACACAUGCAAGUCGAACGGAAAGGCCCUGCUUUUGUGGGGUGCUCGAGUGGCGAACGGGUGAGUAACACGUGAGUAACCUGCCCUUGACUUUGGGAUAACUUCAGGAAACUGGGGCUACUACCGGAUAGGAGCUCCUGCUGCAUGGUGGGGGUUGGAAAGUUUCGGCGGUUGGGGAUGGACGCGCGGCUUAUCAGCUUGUUGGUGGGGGAGUGGCUUACCAAGGCAUUGACGGGUAGCCGGCCUGAGAGGGUGACCGGCCACAAUGGGACUGAGAUACGGCCCAGACUCCUACGGGAGGCAGCAGUGGGGAAUAUUACACAAUGGUCGGAAGCCUGAUGCAGCAACGCCGCGUUCGGGAUGACGGCCUUCGGGUUGUAAACCGCUUUCGCCUGUGACGAAGCGUGAGUGACGGUAAUGGGUAAAUAAGCACCGGCUAACUACGUG
rnacentral:rRNA from 1 species